UACGAAAGGUGCAAGCGUUGUUCGGAAUGACUGGGCGUAAAGCGCACGUAGGCGGAUUUGCAAGUAGGAUGUGAAAUCCCCAGGCUUAACCUGGGAAUGGCAUUCUAAACUACAGAUCUUGAAUGCUCGAGAGGUUGGUGGAAUGCCUGGUGUAGGAGUGAAAUCCGUAGAUAUCAGGUGGAAUAUCGGAGGCGAAGGCGGCCAACUGGUGAUGCAUUGACGCUAAGGUGCGAAAGCGUGGGGAGCAAACAGG
rnacentral:rRNA from 1 species